rnacentral:lncRNA from 1 species
GUGUUCUGGUAAGGGUGUGUGGUCUGAGUCUACAGCUUGUAUGGUUCAUAGAUGUGUGGUAAGAGUAUGGUUAUUGAGGUCAAGCGAGUUUCCACUCUUUCAAACCUUUCUCCCUGUUCUUGAGGCUUGGCCUUGUUCGUGGACAAACAAGGAUCUAAUUCUGUGGGAAUUGAUAUAUGGUGUUUUUAAUACCAUUAUAUGUGUUCUUUGAGUUAAUUCUCAGUCCUAAUUCGUACUUAUUUGAUAUCAUUCUAGGUUUGGAGCAGGUGAAAGAGUAAAGAAGAGAGUGCCAUGAAGGAAGAAGUCAUUUUGGAAUAUCUAACGCAGAACAGCCACUCGGAUCAAUCCGAAGGUUGUUCCCAAAGAGAGCAAGCGAUUGACUGUUCCCGACUAUUAAGGAA